CUCAAAUCCUGACACUUGUGACUAGACCAGGAACUUCUCUGCAGAUCCCUGUCAGAUUCCUGCUGUCCGAGGAGCAGGAAUGAGCAGCAACGAGCUUUUUCAUAACCAGCUCUUUGGCAAUGUCCACACCUGAAGAGCGGCCAGAACAGAGGUGCUUGGGCUGAAAGGUGCUUGAAGAUCUCUAGAAAAUCAAAGCAAGCCCCAGAACUGGGACCUGGUGAGCACAAGAUGAGGUAGAGUAGGCUGGAGCCAGAACCAUAGGGAAAGAUCCAAGGAAGGGGUAAAGGCUUUAUUGGGGAGGGGGGUGGGGUGGCGGGAGGCUUCAGGCUACAUCUCACCAGCAUCACCGGAUCUGCCCCAGGAAACUGUCACUAAAAAGCAGGUGAAGAAUGAACGGAAGGAGAGGCCAGCAUAGAUUCUGGCGAGCAUUUGGAGGUGAAGGAUGGCCAGUUACUGAGGAGGGAGUACUAGAAGUACCCUGUAGAUGCAGGCGUCUAGAAAUGACGGACAAGUCGACAGGUGGUUGUCCUCCUUUUCACAGUUUUACUUUUUCCUGCUCAGCUAGCCGCAGUCAAGUAAAGUCCACGUGCAAUAAACAAUUCAUGUUUUAAUCACGCACCAUCCUAAGGAGCGCGAUGAAAUCUUACACCAUCACAAUCCAUUCUGCCUGAAUAUGAAUCAUCCCUUUGUCCAGUGUGUCCAUGCUCUAUACACACCUGCCCAGCCAGAUGUGGCUCUGGAAUGCCCCUCAAAGGCCCACAUGUUAAGGCUUAGUCCUCGCGUUGGUUCGGGAGAAGCUCUAAGCUGUAGGGACUAUUGGGAAGUCUUGCAGUUGCUGUAAAUGAAGUGAAGAACUGUAUGUAAAGGACGUAAGUACCCAUCAUGUGGAAAGCACUCACUGCUGCUGUCACUGCUCUUAGGGGACAAGACACACAACAUCAGCAUCUCUCUGAAGAAGAAAGUCCCAGAAAUUGUCUCACAAGACAAUGCUUGUGAAUUUGCGGGCAUUAGUGCUUAAGUUUGGUAAAGGUAGUCAUCUUUGCUUUUCCAGUUUCCUUUUUCCUUUCCUUCUGAUGUUGCUACUGAUGAGCUUCCUGCAAAUAAAAUGUCCCCCUAUCAUUUCUA